AUACGGAGGAUGCGAGCGUUAUCCGGAUUUAUUGGGUUUAAAGGGUGCGCAGGCGGGAUUUUAAGUCAGCGGUGAAAUUUUCAGGCUCAACCUGAACACUGCCGUUGAAACUGGGAUUCUUGAGUAUGGAUGAAGUAGGCGGAAUUCGUUGUGUAGCGGUGACAUGCUUAGAUAUAUGGAGGAACACCAGUGGCGAAGGCGGCUCUCUGGUCUGUAACUGACGCUGAGGCUCGAAAGCGUGGGGAGCGAACAGGAUUAGAUACCCUGGUAGUCCACGCCGUAAACGAUGAUUACUAGUUGUUUGCGAUAUACCGUAAGUGACUAAGCGAAAGCGAUAAGUAAUCCACCUGGGGAGUACGCCGGCAACGGUGAA
rnacentral:rRNA from 1 species